rnacentral:lncRNA from 1 species
GCCUGUUUCCUGGUAAUGGAGAAGCCAAGCCCAUGGAUUCCCUCUUUAUUCCCUGCAUCCUAUUGUCAGUCUCUGUACCACAGACUGGAUUCGCACUGAGACAAAUGGACUCACAUGUGUAUUAUAGCUAUGCAAGCGUAUUCCAAGUGGGGACCUCGAACCACAAAGCUGGAGUAAGAGAAACAGAAUGAAAGGAAUACAUGGCCGCAUUUGAGGAGUGCAGGAUUAUAUCAGCACUUGGGAUGAACAAGAAGAAGAAGAAAAAGAAGGAGGAGGAGGAGAAGGAGAAGAAGGAGGAGGAGAAGAAGAGACCAGACUUUUGAGAGCAGCCUGACUGGCAUAGUGAAACUGUAUCUUUAAAAACAAGACAGAGAAAUGUUUAUAUUUUU